rnacentral:rRNA from 1 species
CAAGCUUUUAAGAGCAGAUGGCGGAUGCCUUGCCAAAGAGAGGCGAUGAAGGACGUACUAGACUGCGAUAAGCUAUGCGGAGCUGUCAAGGAGCUUUGAUGCGUAGAUGUCCGAAUGGGGCAACCCAACUAAUAGAGAUAUUAGUUACUCUAAUAUAGAGAGCGAACCUAGUGAAGUGAAACAUCUCAGUAACUAGAGGAAAAGAAAUCAACGAGAUUCCCUAAGUAGUGGCGAGCGAACGGGGAAAAGGGCAAACCGAGUGCUUGCAUUCGGGGUUGAGGACUGCAACAUCCAAGAAAACGCUUUAGCAGAGUUACCUGGAAAGGUAAGCCAUAGAAAGUGAUAGCCUUGUAUGCGACAAGGCGUUUUUAGGUAGCAGUAUCCAGAGUAGACCAGGACACGAGGAAUCCAGGUUGAAGCCGGGGAGACCACUCUCCAACCCUAAAUACUACUCUUUGAGCGAUAGCGAACAAGUACCGUGAGGGAAAGGUGAAAAGAACCGCAGUGAGCGGAGUGAAAUAGAACCUGAAACCAUCUGCUUACAAUCAUUCAGAGCCCUAUGAUUUAUCAGGGUGAUGGACUGCCUUUUGCAUAAUGAUCCUGCGAGUUGUGGUAUCUGGCAAGGUUAAGCGAAUGCGAAGCCGUAGCGAAAGCGAGUCUUAAUAGGGCGAACAAGUCAGAUGCUGCAGACCCGAAGCUAAGUGAUCUAUCCAUGGCCAAGUUGAAACGCGUGUAAUAGCGCGUGGAGGACUGAACUCGUACCCAUUGAAACGGGUUGGGAUGAGCUGUGGAUAGGGGUGAAAGGCCAAACAAACUUAGUGAUAGCUGGUUCUCUUCGAAAUAUAUUUAGGUAUAGCCUCAAGUGAUAAUAAAAGGGGGUAGAGCGCUGAUUGGGCUAGGGCUGCUCGCCGCGGUACCAAACCCUAUCAAACUUCGAAUACCUUUUAUCGUAUCUUGGGAGUCAGGCGGUGGGUGAUAAAAUCAAUCGUCAAAAGGGGAACAACCCAGACUACCAAAUAAGGUCCCUAAGUUCUAUUCUGAGUGGAAAAAGAUGUGUGGCUACUCAAACAACCAGGAGGUUGGCUUAGAAGCAGCCAUCCUUUAAAGAAAGCGUAACAGCUCACUGGUCUAGUGGUCAUGCGCUGAAAAUAUAACGGGGCUAAGAUAGACACCGAAUUUGUAGAUUGUGUUAAACACAGUGGUAGAAGAGCGUUCAUACCAGCGUUGAAGGUAUACCGGUAAGGAGUGCUGGAGCGGUAUGAAGUGAGCAUGCAGGAAUGAGUAACGAUAAGAUAUAUGAGAAUUGUAUCCGCCGUAAAUCUAAGGUUUCCUACGCGAUGGUCGUCAUCGUAGGGUUAGUCGGGUCCUAAGCCGAGUCCGAAAGGGGUAGGUGAUGGCAAAUUGGUUAAUAUUCCAAUACCGACUAUGGAGCGUGAUGGGGGGACGCAUAGGGUUAAGCGAGCUAGCUGAUGGAAGUGCUAGUCUAAGGGCGUAGAUUGGAGGGAAGGCAAAUCCACCUCUGUAUUUGAAACCCAAACAGGCUCUUUGAGUCCUUUUAGGACAAAGGGAGAAUCGCUGAUACCGUCGUGCCAAGAAAAGCCUCUAAGCAUAUCCAUAGUCGUCCGUACCGCAAACCGACACAGGUAGAUGAGAUGAGUAUUCUAAGGCGCGUGAAAGAACUCUGGUUAAGGAACUCUGCAAACUAGCACCGUAAGUUCGCGAUAAGGUGUGCCACAGCGAUGUGGUCUCAGCAAAGAGUCCCUCCCGACUGUUUACCAAAAACACAGCACUUUGCCAACUCGUAAGAGGAAGUAUAAGGUGUGACGCCUGCCCGGUGCUCGAAGGUUAAGAGGAUGCGUCAGUCGCAAGAUGAAGCGUUGAAUUGAAGCCCGAGUAAACGGCGGCCGUAACUAUAACGGUCCUAAGGUAGCGAAAUUCCUUGUCGGUUAAAUACCGACCUGCAUGAAUGGCGUAACGAGAUGGGAGCUGUCUCAACCAGAGAUUCAGUGAAAUUGUAGUGGAGGUGAAAAUUCCUCCUACCCGCGGCAAGACGGAGAGACCCCGUGGACCUUUACUACAACUUAGCACUGCUAAUGGGAAUAUCAUGCGCAGGAUAGGUGGGAGGCUUUGAAGUAAGGGCUUUGGCUCUUAUGGAGCCAUCCUUGAGAUACCACCCUUGAUGUUUCUGUUAGCUAACUGGCCUGUGUUAUCCACAGGCAGGACAAUGCUUGGUGGGUAGUUUGACUGGGGCGGUCGCCUCCUAAAAAGUAACGGAGGCUUGCAAAGGUUGGCUCAUUGCGGUUGGAAAUCGCAAGUUGAGUGUAAUGGCACAAGCCAGCCUGACUGUAAGACAUACAAGUCAAGCAGAGACGAAAGUCGGUCAUAGUGAUCCGGUGGUUCUGUGUGGAAGGGCCAUCGCUCAAAGGAUAAAAGGUACCCCGGGGAUAACAGGCUGAUCUCCCCCAAGAGCUCACAUCGACGGGGAGGUUUGGCACCUCGAUGUCGGCUCAUCGCAUCCUGGGGCUGGAGCAGGUCCCAAGGGUAUGGCUGUUCGCCAUUUAAAGCGGUACGCGAGCUGGGUUCAGAACGUCGUGAGACAGUUCGGUCCCUAUCUGCCGUGGGCGUAGGAAAGUUGAGGAGAGCUGUCCCUAGUACGAGAGGACCGGGAUGGACGUGUCACUGGUGCACCAGUUGUUCUGCCAAGAGCAUCGCUGGGUAGCUACACACGGAUGUGAUAACUGCUGAAAGCAUCUAAGCAGGAAGCCAACUCCAAGAUAAACUUUCCCUGAAGCUCGCACAAAGACUAUGUGCUUGAUAGGGUAGAUGUGUGAGUGCAGUAAUGCAUUUAGCUGACUACUACUAAUAGAGCGUUUGGCUUGUUUU